rnacentral:rRNA from 1 species
AUACAUGCAAGUCGAACGCUUCUUUUUCCACCGGAGCUUGCUCCACCGGAAAAAGAGGAGUGGCGAACGGGUGAGUAACACGUGGGUAACCUGCCCAUCAGAAGGGGAUAACACUUGGAAACAGGUGCUAAUACCGUAUAACAAUCAAAACCGCAUGGUUUUGAUUUGAAAGGCGCUUUCGGGUGUCGCUGAUGGAUGGACCCGCGGUGCAUUAGCUAGUUGGUGAGGUAACGGCUCACCAAGGCCACGAUGCAUAGCCGACCUGAGAGGGUGAUCGGCCACAUUGGGACUGAGACACGGCCCAAACUCCUACGGGAGGCAGCAGUAGGGAAUCUUCGGCAAUGGACGAAAGUCUGACCGAGCAACGCCGCGUGAGUGAAGAAGGUUUUCGGAUCGUAAAACUCUGUUGUUAGAGAAGAACAAGGAUGAGAGUAACUGUUCAUCCCUUGACGGUAUCUAACCAGAAAGCCACGGCUAACUACGUG